UUGGGGACUUAUCGGGGAAUAACUUCCCCUCAAGAAAGCUUUUUACUUACUGGGGAACGAUUUUCCCCAAGGAGGCGUCGGGAUUUUUAUUUUUUUCGCCUUCUUGCUCAGUUGUCACUCUCCACCGGCGAACGAAACGGAACCCUAGCCUUGGCCCUCCUCUCUUUCCUUCUCCAAAAAGAGCACCUCAGAACCCUAAUCGUAGCCCGCUAAACCCUAAUCGUUAUCGCAGGAGAGAGAGGAAAAAGAAAUCAGAAAAAGAUGCCGAAUUUGGAAUGCCGGAUGUACGAGGCCAAGUACCCGGAGGUCGACAUGGCGGUGAUGAUCCAAGUGAAGAACAUCGCGGACAUGGGGGCGUACGUCUCCCUUCUGGAGUACAACAACAUCGAGGGCAUGAUCCUCUUCUCCGAGCUCUCCCGCCGCCGCAUCCGCAGCGUCUCCAGUCUCAUCAAGGUCGGCCGCCAGGAGCCCGUCAUGGUUCUCCGCGUCGACCGCGAAAAGGGCUAUAUCGACCUCAGCAAGCGCCGCGUCUCUGAGGAGGACAUUCACGCCUGUGAGGAGCGCUACAACAAGUCCAAGCUCGUCCACUCCAUCAUGCGCCACGUCGCCGAGACCAUGGACGUCGACCUCGAGGACCUCUACAUCCACGUAGGCUGGCCCCUCUACCGCAAGUAUGGCCACGCCUUCGAGGCGUUCAAGUUAAUUGUGACGGACCCUGAUUCGGUUCUUGAUUCCCUUACCCGAGAAGAGAAGGAAGUCGGUCCGGAUGGGCAGGAGGUGACUAAGGUGGUGCCGGCAAUGACGCCAGAGGUUAAGGAUGCUCUGGUCAAGAACAUUAGGAGAAGGAUGACCCCGCAGCCAUUGAAGAUACGAGCUGAUAUUGAGAUGAAAUGCUUCCAGUUUGACGGGGUUCUUCACAUUAAGGAAGCUAUGAAGAAAGCAGAAGCUGCAGGCAAUGAUGACUGUCCGGUGAAGAUAAAACUGGUUGCUCCUCCACUCUAUGUUCUCACCACUCAAACUCUUGACAAGGUUGAUUUUUUCUUAGAACUUCAAUACCAUCUGGUUCGAGGUUUAUGAUCCAAAAGGGUAAGGAAAACCUGGUGGGAGAACAUAUCAGAUAGUGCUAGAGAAACAAAACUAUCAUGCAAAAAAGUUAUGUGGAACAAGGAAUAACAAUUCUAAGUAAUGCUAUCAAGGCAUGUACUGAAGAAAUAGACCGUCACAAAGGAAAACUUGUAGUGAAGGAGGCACCGAGAGCUGUGAGUGAAAGAGAUGAUAAGCUACUUGCAGAACACAUGGCAAAACUACGAUCGGCUAAUGAGGAAGUUGAUGGUGACGAAGAUUCAGAAGAGGAGGAAGACACAGGAAUGGGAGAUGUGGAUUUGGACAAAUCAGGUGUUGGUAUAACAGAGUAAAAUCUGGCAAAUGGGUGAAGUUUUUAUGGAUGCAUAUCAUUUACCAUGCGCAAAUAGUCUGCCAUCAGGUCCUUCUUACAUCAAGCUAUCUAAAAUGGAAUGCUGCCUCCUGCCUCAGUUUUCUUAUAGAAUGCUGUCCAUAGAACUUUUUGCAGUUUCGUAGUUUUGUUAUUGUCUGAGAGUAUUUGUGGUACUAAAGUGAUACGGAAUGUGCAAGCUAAUGAGCUUUGGACUGUGUACAAUGAGUUUUUUGUUCUUCUUCCGGGUUGUGCAAGUGUGAUGAACUGUAAAAAAACUUCAAAUGCACUCUCUCCUUGGGCUUUUGUUACCUGCAUUAUGCUUUCAUGCUUCAAAUUGGCUGUCUUAUUUUCUCAGCAAAGUGUGCAAGACAUAUCGAGAAAUAACCCACAUGUUUCUCAACAAGAGAUAGGAAACAUGCUUUAUUUGA